rnacentral:rRNA from 1 species
GAUGAACGCUGGCGGCGUGCCUAAUACAUGCAAGUCGAACGCAUUGUGGUUGAAAUGAUAUGAAGAACUUGUUCAGAUUUGAUUUUCAACAUUGCAAUGAGUGGCGAACGGGUGAGUAACACGUGGGAAACCUACCUCUUAGCAGGGGAUAACAUUUGGAAACAAAUGCUAAUACCGUAUAAUAAUUAAAACCGCAUGGUUUUAGUUUAAAAGAUGGUCUUGCUAUCACUAAGAGAUGGUCCCGCGGUGUAUUAGUUAGUUGGUGAGGUAAUGGCUCACCAAGACAAUGAUACAUAGCCGAGUUGAGAGACUGACCGGCCACAAUGGGACUGAGACACGGCCCCAUACUCCUACGGGAGGCAGCAGUAGGGAAUACUUCCACAAUGGACGAAAGUCUGAUGGAGCAACGCCGCGUGUGUGAUGAAGGGUUUCGGCGUCGUAAAACUACUAGUUGUAAGAGAAGAAUGACAUUGAGAGUAACUGUUCAAUG